ensembl:misc_RNA Metazoa_SRP Metazoan signal recognition particle RNA
GCUGGGCGCAGUGGCGUGUACCUGUGGUCCCAGCUACUUGGGAGGCUGAGGUGGGAGGAUCACUUAAGCCCAGGAGUUCUGGACUAUAGUGCGCUAUGCUGAUCGGGUGUCCGCACUAAGUCAUCAAUAUGGUGACCUCCCAGGUUGCCUAAGGAGGGGUGAACCGGCCCAGGUCGGAAACAGAGCAGGUCAAAACUCCCAUGCUGAUCAGUAGUGGGAUUGCGCCUGUGAAUAACCACUGCACUCCAGCCUGGGUAACAUAGCAAGACUCUGUCUCUU